AGCGUUCAGUGGUCAGUACUGGGCGUAAGCCGCGUAGGUGUUCUUCAGCAAGUUCUAAUCCCCGGCCUCAACCUGGGAACUGCAUCCAAAACUACUGAACUAUAGUACGGUAGAGGUGGGUGGAAUUUCCUGUGUAGCGGUGAAAUGCGUAGAUAUCUGAAGGAACUCCAGUGGUUAAUGCGAUUAGCUGGACUGAUACUGACAAUGAGGUGCGAAAGCGGGGGGAGCAAACAGGAUUAAAUACCGUGCUAGUCCACGCCGUAAACGAUGUCUACUAGCCGUUGGGAUCCUUGAGAUCUUGGUGACCCAGCUUAGGAGUUCAGUAGACCGCCAGCCAUCUACGGAAACAUAGUUAAAACUCAGUGAAUUGUCGGUU
rnacentral:rRNA from 1 species